AGUGAACGCUGGCGGUAGGCCUAACACAUGCAAGUCGAACGGCAGCACAGUAAGAGCUUGCUCUUACGGGUGGCGAGUGGCGGACGGGUGAGGAAUACAUCGGAAUCUACUUUUUCGUGGGGGAUAACGUAGGGAAACUUACGCUAAUACCGCAUACGACCUACGGGUGAAAGCAGGGGAUCUUCGGACCUUGCGCGAUUGAAUGAGCCGAUGUCGGAUUAGCCAGUUGGCGGGGCAAAGGCCCACCAAGGCGACGAUCCGUAGCUGGUCUGAGAGGAUGAUCAGCCACACUGGAACUGAGACACGGUCCAGACUCCUACGGGAGGCAGCAGUGGGGAAUAUUGGACAAAGGGCGCAAGCCUGAUCCAGCCAUACCGCGUGGGUGAAGAAGGCCUUCGGGUUGUAAAGCCCUUUUGUUGGGAAAGAAAAGCAGCAGGUUAAUACCCCGCUGUUCUGACGGUACCCAAAGAAUAAGCACCGGCUAACUUCGUG
rnacentral:rRNA from 1 species